ACAGUGUUUCCCACAUUGAGUAAGGUGACACGGUAAACCCUGCACUUCUAGGACAAACGCACGCACACACACACACACACACACACACACACACACACACACACACACACACACACACACACACACACACACACACACACACACACACACAGAACAGUGCAGGUCUGUCUGUGGGACUGGUUCCAGGACAUGUUGUCUUUGCGCAGGAAGAGCCUUGGACUCUCACAUAAAUAAGUCCGUCAAUGUUUUAGUGUUCUUUAUAUAGCAGCAGGACUUGUGUCGUCACACAAACCGAGUGACAUUAGCGGUUUUGUCUCCAAGACAAACUGAAGCUGUGUGUGUUUUCCCCAGUCAAACAGUGGGGUUGGUGUUGGGGGACUGUUUCAAAGUUGGCUGUCUCUCUGUGGUUCCACGGUGUAGACCACCAGAGUAUCUCGCCUCACCACAACUCACCAUGGUUUCCCUGGUCUACGUGGUGCCUACAUCACGUCUACCAUGAGAGAGAGAGAGUGUGUGUGUGUGUGUGUGUGUGUGUGUGUGCGUGUGUGUGUGCGUGCGCGUGCGUGUGCGUGUGACAGAGAGAGUGUAUGGCUGGUAUAGAGGUAGGUAGUGGAAGAAAUCGAAAGCAUUGCAGGCAAAAACCUGGCGCCAGUGAGUUCAUUCUGACUGCAGGUCUAUAAACCCAGGCAGUAUAGUGGCAUGUAGAUCAAACACUGAGACACACCUGUUAUAUGAUUCACUGUCAGGACAGGUGGAUUCUUAGGGGGAAACAGAAAAUGUCUGUCUCCACUCUUGAGAAAUGUAAUAACUAGCAGGUCUAUGUGUGCCACAACAUCUCCAUAUCCUGUUCUGUAGCUAUAGUUGUGGAGGACCAGAGUAGGCCAUAUGACACUGGUCUACUACACAAUGAAUGGUGUUCCUUUUAUUAAUUUGUCCUUUCUUUAACCAGAGAAGACACAUUGAGAGGUGUCUUUUUCAAGUGCUUUGCACAUUCCCCGUAGAAAUGCAUACUAUUUUAACCGGAGAACUGUCCACUGUCAAAAAAACACAAAAUUUUGCUGAGGAAAGCAGCUAAGCUGAGUAAUAUGUCUGCCCUAGAUAUCCAGUCUUCAUGACUAACAACACAUAGACUGGAACACUCAGGUUAGCAUUUCUCCUGGUCUGCUCUCACACAGACAGCAGCACCUUUGGACAGCAGUAAAGGGAGGGAUACCUGAUGCCCUUUUAAAGCUUUCCUCUUCCUAUUCAAUGACUGUGAUACUGUAUACUGUAGGUUCCUCUAGUGACAUGUGUUGUGAGACUAUCCCAUAGACAACAGAGAGGGUUCUCAGAUGACAAGCCCGUGGCCUAUGUACGGUGACAGUCUUCUCACAUAAAGAAAUACAAAACGCAC
rnacentral:lncRNA from 13 species